rnacentral:rRNA from 1 species
AUUGAACGCUGGCGGCAUGCUUUACACAUGCAAGUCGGACGAGUGGCGAACGGGUGAGUAACAUAUCGGAACGUACCGAGUAAUGGGGGAUAACUAAUCGAAAGAUUAGCUAAUACCGCAUAUUAUUCGAGCGGCCGAUAUCUGAUUAGUUGGUUGGUGGGGUAUAGGCCUACAAAGGCGACGAUCAGUAGCGGUUCUGAGUGGAUGAUGCGCCACACUGGGACGGUGACCUGGCCCAGACUCCUACGGAGGGCAGCAGUGGGGAAGUUUGGACAAUGGGCGCAAUCCUGCUCAAGCCAUGCCGCGGGUCUGAAGAAGGCCUUCGGGUUGUAAAGGACUUUUGUCAGGGAAGCGGUACCUGAAGAAUAAGCACCGGCUAACUACGUGCCAGCAGCCGCGGUAAUAC